UGGUCGUAUGUUUAGCUAGCCCACUACCCUGCCGCAAGCCUGCAACCUCCCAUAAUUUUCUAAUCGAGCGCGGAGGGCGACAGGCGGUUUGGUUUAGAGGCACGGCGAGCGGCGGCGGCGGCGGCGGCGGGCGGCUGAGCGGUAGCUAGGCGAGUGAGGGCUAGGCUGUGCGCUCUCGGUGGCCUCGAGAAGUCGUGGUCGCAUCCUCGAAUCGGCGGCGUCAUGGCUGGCCGGUUGAAUCGACCUCGGCCGCCUCCUGCUCUGUUUCUGGAUCCCCUCCGUAGACAACCUCCUGCUUUGUCGCCGGCAACCAUCCGCUACCAAAGCCUCCGCUGCCAAAGCCCAACACUGCCCGCGGCCGAGGCAUGCCCGUAAGCUGAUGGUUUGGAAUCCCGACGGCUUCAGGGGAGCGGCAAGUGGUCCUGAUCUUGGUCGCCCUGGAGUCUGGCCUCGGCGGUGGGUUGCGGCCGGCGCUAGCGGUUCCACCUGCGUGCUGCAUGUGGUCUACAUCGGCGAAGAAAUGCUAUCCCGGCCGGCCUCCACCUCGCAUGACGAGCCUGUACCUCUGGCUGCACUCCACCCUUAAGAGUCACCAGGUCACGCUGGAUUAUGCCUUGAAAUCGAGGGACGGAAGAAGAAGUAUGCAAGGGACUUAAAGACGAAGAGUAAGUAUCUAGAGGCAAUGCUGCGGAGAUGGAAACAUUACAGUGUUAGUGUUCAUGUUGUACCUAGCUUGGUGUAGCCUGAGGUGAGCUCAAACCUGAAUCUAGCUAGUUUUUUUUUUAAGUUCUGAUCGUUGUUGCAGUUUUUAAUUAGGGGUUUCAUGGUCUAGUUUUGAUUUGCAUCACUACAGGCCUGGAGUUGUUAGUUUCAUAAAUACAAGUCAUAUAUGAUAUUUCAGCCAUCAAGGUAAAUCAUGUGAGAAGUUAGGUGACUCCUGUGUUUGUGAUUGCUUUCCGUGAACUCCUUGUCGAUUAUCGUGCAACUAAGAAGCUGAAGUCCCAUGGUAACUAUAAAUUACGAAUGAUCACUUGACUAAUCAUAUAUUUUUAUCUCCAACUGGUGUUGAUUAUCAAUGUGGUUUAUUCAAAUGAAACAAUGCUUGUCGGUAGCUCAAUUUUGGUUUUGUAGAGGUGCAGGUGAGGCCGCACCAUUUCACCUCUCUCUAGUUUCAGUGUAGCCUUACAAGCCUAUUGAUUCAUUUAUGUAGGAUUAGAAGUUUAUGAAUUAAUAAUUAAAUUAUGAGUUCAUUGGUAAAUGUCUUUUCAGGUCACACAAAUUGUUUUCUAGUUGUUUACUUGACACUCCUUUCUUUUCUUCUCUUGCUCUUUUAUGUCCAUAAUUUCAUUUUUGAAUGGUAAGAAUGAUAGUUCCAUAUGUACUCAUUUUCCUCUUUUGGAUUAUGUCUAUUUUUAUCCAUCUUGGACUGCAGCUUUGAUGAUGAUUAGGUGAACAGAAAAGUGAAUGGUUUUUUUUUCAGUCAUAAUAUGUGAGGUUAUGUGCUUGCAUAGUCUUCUGUAUUUCAAACUGUAAAAAAAACUGGUCAUUUUAACUAGGUAGCUCUCACAUGCAGUUGCAGAAGAAUUCUGUAAGCUGACAUAAUUAUUUCAGUGCCUUUGUUUCUUUCUAUUCUCUAGUUGUCUCUUGCUUUUAUUGCAGUGGUACUUGUCUCACUCUAGCUUCUACUACUCAUCUUUGAUAGCGCACAUUGAGCACAGAAGAUGGCGUGGUCAAAGCAUUCUAUGCUCUGUGGAAAUAAACUAAAAUAGUUUGCCAUAAUGGCUUAUAUUAAGACUGACAUUCGUUUCUUGCAACAUUUGUUUCUUGCAUUCUAUGCUCUGUCAAAAUAGUUUGCCAAAUGGAUUACGUAAUUUAAGAAGUAAGCUAAGCAGGUUCAUCUUCUUGCAGAUUGAUUAAAAAGCCGCACUCGAGCAGUCUUAUAUUUGUUUAACAAGAUGCUCCUGACAAAUGUGUAUGGAAGUUCUGCAUAGUGUAUUUUCAAAUGGGAAGCCAUACUGAACAGCUUCGAAGACCAUGGCAUUUGAUUGAUGCGCCCCUGUUGGGUUCAUGCUGAAACUCAAAUUAUACCAACUUGUCAUUCUUUUUUAUCUUAUUCUUAUUCUUCUUCUUUUUUCUGUACAAUUUAUAUCAUUACCAGCCUAGCUACGACUUGCAAAAUUCCAAAGCUGUUUAAGGAACCUAGUUGUGGGAGCCUGCUAUCGUAAUAAAUAAUUUUUGUACCUUCAUUCAUCUUUAAGACUGAGAGAUUUGAUUAUGAGAGUAUGUUGAUUUUUUUACGUUAUGAUAUAUUGGUACCUUUCA